UACGUAGGGGGCAAGCGUUGUCCGGAAUCAUUGGGCGUAAAGAGCGUGUAGGCGGCUUGGUAAGUCCGCUGUGAAAGUCCAGGGCUCAACCCUGGAAUGCCGGUGGAAACUGUCAAGCUUGAGUCCGGAAGAGGCGAGUGGAAUUCCUGGUGUAGCGGUGAAAUGCGCAGAUAUCAGGAGGAACACCAAUGGCGAAGGCAGCUCGCUGGGACGGUACUGACGCUGAGACGCGAAAGCGUGGGGAGCAAACAGGAU
rnacentral:rRNA from 1 species